GAUGAACGCUGGCGGCGUGCCUAAUACAUGCAAGUCGAACGCACAGCGAAAGGUGCUUGCACCUUUCAAGUGAGUGGCGAACGGGUGAGUAACACGUGGACAACCUGCCUCAAGGCUGGGGAUAACAUUUGGAAACAGAUGCUAAUACCGAAUAAAACUCAGUGUCGCAUGACACAAAGUUAAAAGGCGCUUUGGCGUCACCUAGAGAUGAAUCCGCGGUGCAUUAGUUAGUUGGUGGGGUAAAGGCCUACCAAGACAAUGAUGCAUAGCCGAGUUGAGAGACUGAUCGGCCACAUUGGGACUGAGACACGGCCCAAACUCCUACGGGAGGCUGCAGUAGGGAAUCUUCCACAAUGGGCGAAAGCCUGAUGGAGCAGCGCCGCGUGUGUGAUGAAGGCUUUCGGGUCGUAAGGCACUGUUGUAUGGGAAGAACAGCUAGAAUAGGGAAUGAUUUUAGUUUGACGGUACCAUACCAGAAAGGGACGGCUAAAUACGUGCCAGCCGCCGCGGUAA
rnacentral:rRNA from 1 species